UUAUGCACGAGUAAGGCUACGCAUUCACCUGCGCCAGCUCGAAGCCGCGAGAAUCAGUGGGAGUGGAAGCAAGACAUGCGCUGCAGUUAAUUUGCAGUGAGUUGUAGCACUUGUUGUUCUUGAAAUC
rnacentral:lncRNA from 1 species